rnacentral:sRNA from 1 species
AUAAGUUAAUGCUCACCCUAUUUAAUUUUAUCUUUGAUUUUAAUAAUGAGGUGAUGCAGCAUAUGUCAAUUUACGAAUCAAUGAUGGUCAUGAUUAAUUUUUGUACGCUUAUGUUAAAUGCAGUAGGUUUAUUUGUAUUGAUUGGAAACGAAAAAUAGACCUCCCUUGAGCCUGGAAACCUGAAGGGUUAGGUCUACAAUGAUUUGCUUCUGAGCAUACCACUCAUGGGCAACUUUUUACCGGGGUGCUACCAACACCCUGG